rnacentral:misc_RNA from 1 species
GAACUUCAGCUGGACCUUAUUCUCUUCUGACCGUCUCUUUGAUCUGAUUGAUUAGCAUUGUUUGAUUCACCCUCGGAGAAAGCCUCCAUAGAUGUGGUAACAGAACUGGAAAGAUCAGCAUAGAGAUCAACUACUCUUCUAAUAUUGUUAUUUAGCUCUCUAAUUAGACCAACAUUUCGAGUCAAGUUAUCUGGGAUUGUUGACUCGUGGUUCUGGUUGAUCUCGUUGAUUAAC